GGGUCAGUAGGUUGGUCGUGCCACCGGUACGUACUGGUCUCACUGAUUCCUCCUUCCUGAAGAACCGUAAUGCCAUUAAUUUGGUGUUGCGGGGAAACAGGACUGUUACUUUGAAAAAAUUAGAGUGCUUAGAGCAAGCUAACGCUUGAAUACAUUAGCAUGGAAUAAUGAAAUAGGACGAUCGAUCCUAUUUUGUUGGUUUCUAGGAUUGACGUA
rnacentral:rRNA from 1 species